rnacentral:rRNA from 1 species
GACGAACGCNGGCGGCGUGCCUAAUACAUGCAAGUCGAACGAGAGCGACCGGUGCUUGCACUGGUCAAUCUAGUGGCGAACGGGUGAGUAACACGUGGGUAACCUGCCCAUCAGAGGGGGAUAACAUUCGGAAACGGAUGCUAAAACCGCAUAGGUCUUCGAACCGCAUGGUUUGAAGAGGAAAAGAGGCGCAAGCUUCUGCUGAUGGAUGGACCCGCGGUGCAUUAGCUAGUUGGUGAGGUAACGGCUCACCAAAGCCGUGAUGCAUAGCCGACCUGAGAGGGUGAUCGGCCACAUUGGGACUGAGACACGGCCCAAACUCCUACGGGAGGCAGCAGUAGGGAAUCUUCCGCAAUGGACGCAAGUCUGACGGAGCAACGCCGCGUGAGUGAAGAAGGUUUUCGGAUCGUAAAACUCUGUUGUUAGAGAAGAACAAGUGCUAGAGUAACUGUUAGCGCCUUGACGGUAUCUAACCAGAAAGCCACGGCUAACUACGUGCCAGCAGCCGCGGUAAUACGUAGGUGGCAAGCGUUGUCCGGAUUUAUUGGGCGUAAAGCGAGCGCAGGCGGUUCCUUAAGUCUGAUGUGAAAGCCCCCGGCUCAACCGGGGAGGGUCAUUGGAAACUGGGGAACUUGAGUGCAGAAGAGGAGAGUGGAAUUCCAUGUGUAGCGGUGAAAUGCGUAGAUAUAUGGAGGAACACCAGUGGCGAAGGCGACUCUCUGGUCUGUAACUGACGCUGAGGCUCGAAAGCGUGGGUAGCAAACAGG